UUGCAGGCCCUCACCCCACCCAGAAAUAAAACCCCGAACUGUGAGAGAGUUGGAGUGGACCCUCGUUUUGUUGUGACAUCGUUGGAAAGCCAUUGCUUGAGCAUCUCAUUCUGAAACCAUUCGGCGAUGAACACUUCGAUCCUUUGCGAGGCCAAGAUCAACAAAACUGUGGACACAAAGAGCAGCUGCGCUCUACUGUCGUACGUAGGAGACGACUAAGUCGACGACCAUUCAGAGCACUUUUUGGCUCUCAACAUUCUCUGCCAAAGAGUCUUCAGGACAAGGACAGUGGAGGAAGCACUCUUCAGCACUCUCGAGAAAAACUAUAUGCUUUAUGGAA